rnacentral:rRNA from 1 species
UACGUAGGGGGCUAGCGUUGUCCGGAUUUAUUGGGCGUAAAGAGCGUGUAGGCGGCCAGAUAGGUCUGCUGUGAAAACUCGAGGCUCAACCUCGAGAUGUCGGCGGAAACCAUUUGGCUAGAGUCCGGAAGAGGAAAGUGGAAUUCCUGGUGUAGCGGUGAAAUGCGUAGAUAUCAGGAGGAAUACCGGUGGCGAAAGCGACUCUCUGGACGGCAACUGACGCUGAGGCACGAAAGCGUGGGGAGCAAACAGG